rnacentral:rRNA from 1 species
UACGAAGGGUGCAAGCGUUAAUCGGAAUUACUGGGCGUAAAGGGUGCGUAGGCGGUUCGUUAAGUCUGUCGUGAAAUCCCCGGGCUCAACCUGGGAACUGCGUUUGGUACUGGCAAGCUAGAGUACGGCAGAGGGGGGUGGAAUUCCACGUGUAGCAGUGAAAUGCGUAGAGAUGUGGAGGAACACCGAUGGCGAAGGCAGCCCCCUGGGCCGAUACUGACGCUCAGGCACGAAAGCGUGGGGAGUAAACAGG